CCUCCUCCACCAUCUGAACCAUCACAGGACACGGCGUCAUUAACAUCCUCUGCAAACAGCUCUGUGUCAGCCCGUAGUCAGACACUGGGCCAGUGUUCCCACCCGUCUGCUCAUGCGCGGCCCCAGUGUGUGUCUUGUUAGCAAGGCUUCUAACAUUAUGCUGCUGUAUAUAUGAACUAUGAAGCGUUAUUUAUUCAUAUAUUAAGCGAACUGAGGUGAACGACAGCAGACUGGGCGAGACAUUCAUCUCUCCACUGUCCAGUGUGGCUGGCAAACAGCAAAGAUAUUACCCGAAUUAUGCCUAAUGAACGUGUAAAAACUUACAUUUAACUAGCUUACAACAUAAUGUAACAUUAGGUUGGUUAAGCUAGCUCCGCCCUGAGCUUUAAACUCUUAGCCAAUGUUAAAUAUACUGUAGCGUUAACGCAGCCGUUACCCGCUGCGGUGUCGUUGAUAAGAGCAAUGUUUCAACAGGAGGAGAAGCUGCUGUUUUACCGCGUUGGUGAAGCUGCUGCUCCCGUCUACAGCUGUGUGCUCUGAGUCCUCGUCAGCGGCCACAGACUCUUCCCUCCCAUCCUCCGCCAUCCUCGUCUUUCCUCCUGAUGUUGCUGGUUUGGAGCUCUGCUGACCUGUUCUGUCGCCAGACUUAGGCAACGCAGAGAAGCAGCCGCUGUUUGCCAGUCACUGCCUGAGACAGCUGUCAAUACAGUCUGCCCUCACGGAGAUGUUUCCCCUCUGCUUUAGCCCAUUCCAGUAAACUGUUCUAAAUUG